rnacentral:lncRNA from 1 species
GGAGAAGAGGGAGAGUCUUUUCGCCAGCACUUCUGGCAAGAAGGCUGUUGGGGAAACAAAACAUCCUUCUAACAAGAAGACCGCCCCCGCCCCAUGCCAAUACAGAGGAGCGAGGACAGCUCAUCUGUUCUGGGGCAGGGCGCUCACCGCGUUCAGGCGGUCUGGGCGAGCACACGCAAUCUGGGCCGAAUUUCACACACUGUAUACAGCCAAGCAGAGGAAAGAAAAAUGAAAACCUCUUUUAUCUCUUCAACAGACAGAUGGAUGUACCUUGUAGCAGCCUUCAGUGCAGCUCGUGAGAGAAUCCUGACUCAGUUUUGGAGACUUCUCAAGGACCUGCCAAGAACACCAUGUGCUCUCUUCAACUCCGUUUACCAAGUUAAGAUUUGGCUGCAGCUCGUCAGAAUUGGGAAUUGGUUUUACAACCUCUGAUGUUCCUCUCAACCCUCAGAAUCUACAAUAUUCUGCAUUAGGUACUUUUGCAGAAUUCUUUACUUCUGUCUGCCAGGAAGUAUCAGGUCAGCCGUGUUUGAAGGAGGGACAUGAAUGCAUCCCCUCCUUAACCCCCUUUAUGAAGAGAAACGCACCUCAGCCACAGAGACCGGGCCCGGGGUGCCGCUGUAGGAACCACUUUGUGGAAAGUUAGAUUUAUUCUUUGCUAAAAUGGAAGAACCCUGAGCGCAGGGACCGUGGCGGGCAGCUCUGUCCGCGCAGACACUUGGUAAGCC